GUGAAACCGCGAAUGGCUCAUUAAAUCACACCUAAUCUACUGGAUAGUUAACAGUUACUUGGAUAACUGCGGUAAUUCUGGAGCUAAUACAUGCACAAAGCCCCAAACUUACGUGAGGGGCGCUUUUAUUAGAUCAAAACCAAACGGCUUCGGCUGUUCUCUUGGUGACUCUGAAUAACUUUGGGCUGAUCGCAUAGCCUAGCGCUGGCGACAUAUCCUUCGAAGGUGUGCCCUAUCAACUGUCGACUGUGGCAUAGACGCCCACAGUGGUUUUGACGGGUAACGGGGAAUCAGGGUUCGAUUCCGGAGAGGGAGCCUUAAAAACGGCUACCACAUCUAAGGAAGGCAGCAGGCACGCAAAUUACCCAAUGACCGAAGGUCGAGGUAGUGACGAAAAAUAACGAUACAGGACUCAUCUGAGGCCCUGUAAUCGGAAUGAGUACACUUUAAAACCGUCCCCGAGGAUCUAUUGGAGGGCAAGUCUGGUGCCAGCAGCCGCGGUAAUUCCAGCUCCAAUAGCGUAUAUUAAAGUUGUUGUGGUUAAAAAGCUCGUAGUUGGAUCUCGGCGGUCUGAGGGCGGUUCACUUGCUAGUGCUACUGCCCUAUAGACCGUAGUUUUGCCAGAGGUCUCAGGGUGCUCUUAAUCGAGUGUCUUGUGAUGCUGGCAGGUUUACUUUGAAAAAAUUAGAGUGCUCAAAGCAGGCUUUUACGCCUGAAUAUUCGUGCAUGGAAUAAUAGAAUAGGAAGUCGUUUCUAUUUUGUUGGUUUUCGGAAAUCGACUUAAUGAUUAAUAGGGACAGUCGGGGGCAUUUGUAUUCAAACGACAGAGGUGAAAUUCUUGGACCGUUUGAAGACAAACUACUGCGAAAGCAUUUGCCAAGAAUGUUUUCAUUAAUCAAGAACGAAAG
rnacentral:rRNA from 1 species